AACCCCUAUCUUAAUUGCCAUCAUUCAGUUCGGGCACUUUAGAGAGACUGCCGGUGUUAAGCCGGAGGAAGGUGGGGAUGACGUCAAGUCCUCAUGGCCUUUAUGUCUAGGGCUACACACGUGCUACAAUGGGUGGUACAAAGAGCAGCUAACUCGCGAGAGUAUGCAAAUCUCAAAAAGCCAUCCUCAGUUCGGAUUGGAGUCUGCAACUCGACUCCAUGAAGUUGGAAUCGCUAGUAAUCGCGGAUCAGCAUGCCGCGGUGAAUACGUUCCCGGGCCUU
rnacentral:rRNA from 1 species